AUUGAACGCUGGCGGCAUGCUUUACACAUGCAAGUCGAACGGUAACAGGGAGCUUGCUCCGCUGACGAGUGGCGAACGGGUGAGUAAUGCGUCGGAACGUGCCGAGUAGUGGGGGAUAACGCAUCGAAAGGUGUGCUAAUACCGCAUACGUACUGAGGUAGAAAGUGGGGGACCUUCGGGCCUCACGCUAUUCGAGCGGCCGACGUCUGAUUAGCUAGUUGGUGAGGUAAAGGCUCACCAAGGCGACGAUCAGUAGCGGGUCUGAGAGGAUGAUACGCCACACUGGGACUGAGACACGGCCCAAACUCCUGCGGGAGGCAGCAGUGGGGAAUUUUGGACAAUGGGCGCAAGCCUGAUCCAGCCAUGCCGCGUGUCUGAAGAAGGCCUUCGGGUUGUAAAGGACUUUUGUCGGGGAGCAAAUGCCUGGUGUUAAUAGCACUGGGAGCUGAGAGUACCGGAAGAAUAAGCACCGGCUAACUACGUGCCAGCCGCCGCGGUAAAAC
rnacentral:rRNA from 1 species